rnacentral:rRNA from 2 species
CAUUACCGAGUGAGGGCCCUCUGGGUCCAACCUCCCACCCGUGUUUAUUUUACCUUGUUGCUUCGGCGGGCCCGCCUUAACUGGCCGCCGGGGGGCUUACGCCCCCGGGCCCGCGCCCGCCGAAGACACCCUCGAACUCUGUCUGAAGAUUGUAGUCUGAGUGAAAAUAUAAAUUAUUUAAAACUUUCAACAACGGAUCUCUUGGUUCCGGCAUCGAUGAAGAACGCAGCGAAAUGCGAUACGUAAUGUGAAUUGCAAAUUCAGUGAAUCAUCGAGUCUUUGAACGCACAUUGCGCCCCCUGGUAUUCCGGGGGGCAUGCCUGUCCGAGCGUCAUUGCUGCCCUCAAGCACGGCUUGUGUGUUGGGCCCCGUCCUCCGAUCCCGGGGGACGGGCCCGAAAGGCAGCGGCGGCACCGCGUCCGGUCCUCGAGCGUAUGGGGCUUUGUCACCCGCUCUGUAGGCCCGGCCGGCGCUUGCCGAUCAACCCAAAUUUUUAUCCAGGUUGACCUCGGAUCAGGUAGGGAUACCCGCUGAACUUAAGCAUAUC